UUAGAGUUUUGAUCCUGGCUCAGGACGAACGCUGGCGGCGUGCCUAAUACAUGCAAGUCGAGCGCGGGAAGCGGACAGAACUCUUCGGAGGGACGUUCGUGGAACGAGCGGCGGACGGGUGAGUAACACGUAGGCAACCUGCCUGUAAGACUGGGAUAACUCGCGGAAACGCGAGCAAAUACCGGAUAAUACUUAUGAUCUCCUGAUGAUAAGUUGAAAGGCGGCUUUUGCUGUCACUUACAGAUGGGCCUGCGGCGCAUUAGCUAGUUGGUGAGGGUAACGGCUCACCAAGGCGACGAUGCGUAGCCGACCUGAGAGGGUGAUCGGCCACACUGGGACUGAGACACGGCCCAGACUCC
rnacentral:rRNA from 1 species